GAUGAACGCUGGCGGCGUGCCUAAUACAUGCAAGUCGAGCGAACAGACGAGGAGCUUGCUCCUCUGACGUUAGCGGCGGACGGGUGAGUAACACGUGGAUAACCUACCUAUAAGACUGGGAUAACUUCGGGAAACCGGAGCUAAUACCGGAUAAUAUAUUGAACCGCAUGGUUCAAUAGUGAAAUACGGUUUUUCUUUCUCUUAUAGAUGUUUCCGCUCCUCAGUAUCUAGUUGGUAAGGUAACGGCUUACCAAGGCGACGAUGCGUAGCCGACCUGAGAGGGUGAUAGGCCACACUGGAACUGAGACAGGGUCAAGACUCCUACGGGAGGAAGCAGUAGGGAAUCUUCCGCAAUGGGCGAAAGCCUGACGGAGGAACGCCGCGUGAGUGAUGAAGGUCUUCGGAUCGUAAAACUCUGUUAUUAGGGAAGAACAAAUGUGUAAGUAACUAUGCACGUCUUGACGGUACCUAAUCAGAAAGCCACGGCUAACUACGUG
rnacentral:rRNA from 1 species